GCCUCAAUAGCUCAGUUGGCAGAGCAGCUCACUUGUAAUGAGCAGGUCGUGGGUUCGAAACCUACUUGGGGCACCA
rnacentral:tRNA from 1 species